rnacentral:rRNA from 1 species
GACGAACGCUAGCGACAGGCUUAACACAUGCAAGUCGAGGGGCAGCAUAAAAGUAGCAAUACUUUGGUGGCGACCGGCGCACGGGUGAGUAACGCGUAUGCAACCUACCUAUCAGAGGGGAAUAACCCGGCGAAAGUCGGACUAAUACCGCAUAAAACAGGGGCACCGCAUGGUGAUAUUUGUUAAAGAGAUUCGCUGAUAGAUGGGCAUGCGUUCCAUUAGGUAGUUGGUGAGGUAACGGCUCACCAAGCCGACGAUGGAUAGGGGAACUGAGAGGUUGGUCCCCCACACUGGUACUGAGACACGGACCAGACUCCUACGGGAGGCAGCAGUGAGGAAUAUUGGUCAAUGGGCGAGAGCCUGAACCAGCCAAGUCGCGUGAAGGAAGAAGGAUCUAUGGUUCGUAAACUUCUUUUGCAGGGGAAUAAAGUGCAGGACGUGUCCUGUUUUGUAUGUACCCUGAGAAUAAGGAUCGGCUAACUCCGUGCCAGCAGCCGCAGUAA